rnacentral:lncRNA from 1 species
CGUAGAAACUAAACUUUGGCCAUGCUGCUUAUCGGUGUCAUGGCUAUCGGGUCCCGCUAAUUUCUAUUAAUUUUGAACACUCAACUAGCCUCGAACUACAGAAACUUAAGGUCAGACCACACGUAAGCUUCCCAGCACGUGCUCACUCCUGGCAGCUCCUGGCUAGACACCUUGACAGACAUGGCUUCGUACUGAGCUGUUGACAGCACUUCUAAAUGCACAAUUUGGAUGUGGCUACUAUUCGUCAAUCAGUCAAGCUGGUGCAGGACAAAGCUGGUCCGCACCACGUAGCACAGCCAAACUGGAGCACAUGACCGCAAGUGUGCAUUCCU